rnacentral:rRNA from 1 species
CAUUGAGCCUUGAUGUGUAGGAUAGGUGGGAGGCUUUGAAGUGUGGACGCCAGUCUGCAUGGAGCCGACCUUGAAAUACCACCCUUUAAUGUUUGAUGUUCUAACGUUGACCCGUAAUCCGGGUUGCGGACAGUGUCUGGUGGGUAGUUUGACUGGGGCGGUCUCCUCCUAAAGAGUAACGGAGGAGCACGAAGGUUGGCUAAUCCUGGUCGGACAUCAGGAGGUUAGUGCAAUGGCAUAAGCCAGCUUGACUGCGAGCGUGACGGCGCGAGCAGGUGCGAAAGCAGGUCAUAGUGAUCCGGUGGUUCUGAAUGGAAGGGCCAUCGCUCAACGGAUAAAAGGUACUCCGGGGAUAACAGGCUGAUACCGCCCAAGAGUUCAUAUCGACGGCGGUGUUUGGCACCUCGAUGUCGGCUCAUCACAUCCUGGGGCUGAAGUAGGUCCCAAGGGUAUGGCUGUUCGCCAUUUAAAGUGGUACGCGAGCUGGGUUUAGAACGUCGUGAGACAGUUCGGUCCCUAUCUGCCGUGGGCGCUGGAGAACUGAGGGGGGCUGCUCCUAGUACGAGAGGACCGGAGUGGACGCAUCACUGGUGUUCGGGUUGUCAUGCCAAUGGCACUGCCCGGUAGCUAAAUGCGGAAGAGAUAAGUGCUGAAAGCAUCUAAGCACGAAACUUGCCCCGAGAUGAGUUCUCCCUGACCCU